AUAGAAAGAAUAGAACAAAAAAAAAUGGUCGAAAUUGAACUCUUUCUAAUGUA
rnacentral:tRNA from 1 species